GAUGAACGCUAGCGGCAGGCUUAAUACAUGCAAGUCGUACGGGAUCCGAGGUAGCAAUACUUUGGUGAGAGUGGCGCACGGGUGCGUAACACGUAUGCAACCUACCUUUAACCGGGACACAACCCACCGAAAGGUGAGCUAAUAUCCCAUAACACUGCGAAGUGGCAUCACUUUGCAGUUAAAACUCCGGUGGUUAUUGAUGGGCAUGCGCGACAUUAGUUAGUUGGUGAGGUAACGGCCCACCAAGGCUACGAUGUCUAGGGGUUCUGAGAGGAUUAUCCCCCCACACUGGUACUGAGACACGGACCAGACUCCUACGGGAGGCAGCAGUAAGGAAUAUUGGUCAAUGGGCGCAAGCCUGAACCAGCCAUGCCGCGUGAAGGAUGACGGCCCUAUGGGUUGUAAACUUCUUUGUACGGGAAAAAACCAACCGGUCGUGUAUCGGUGCUGAUGGUACCGUAAGAAUAAGCAUCGGCUAACUCCGUGCCAGCAGCCGCGGUAAU
rnacentral:rRNA from 1 species